rnacentral:pre_miRNA from 1 species
GUUAUACUCCCUCCGUUUGGAAUUACUUGUCGUAAAAAUGAAUGUAUCUAGACAUUUUUUAGUUCUAGAUACAUCCAUUUCUGUGACAAGUAAUUCGGAACGGAGGGAGUAAUUG